rnacentral:misc_RNA from 1 species
GUCGCCGCACAAUCGGCGACCGGGUUUAGCAGCCUGACUCAACGGCGCACCAGCGCCCAUCGAUCGAUGCACGGCGCUUUUUUU